rnacentral:rRNA from 1 species
CUGCUGCCUCCCGUAGGAGUUUGGACCGUGUCUCAGUUCCAAUGUGGGGACCUUCCUCUCAGAACCCCUACGCAUCGUCGGCUUGGUGGGCCGUUGCCCCACCAACUACCUAAUGCGCCGCAUGCCCAUCCGUGACCGGGGUCGCCCCCUUUGGCCGGCAGGGGAUGUCCCCUCCCGGCAUUAUGUUGUAUUAGGCGGGAUUUCUCCCGGUUAUCCAUCUGUCACGGCCAGGUUGCAUACGUGUUACUCACCCGUGCGCCGGUCGCCGGCGG